rnacentral:pre_miRNA from 1 species
UUAGAGGAUUUAGAGAUUUCUACUUGCGUACUUGGAGGAUUUGAAGACUUUAAUUUGCAUAAUUGAAUAAUUUGAAUACUUUAACU